UCUGGAUCGUCUGCAACCAGUUCAGCACUGCUUGGUGUCUCAUGGUCCUCCUUAGUCACAAAUAUAAUUUUGUCUUUUCCUUCUUGCCUGCAGUAGGACAUGGCGGAGCCGCGCGGAGCCGCCCGCUGCCUUCCCGCUCAAUACGCCCGCAGACCGGCUCCGCCACCGUCCCGCGUCCUUCCCGCCCGCCUCGUUCCUGCUCCCGUU
rnacentral:lncRNA from 1 species